UUUAAUUUAAAUAUCGUUUUUGCCGUCACGUUUAAUCACGUUAUUUUCUAAUAGAUAUUCUGUGAAUUUAUAUUUUGUAAAUCAUAUAAAUUCGUAUAUAUAUAGAUAUACACACAUAUUAUUAAAAUAUAUUUAAAAUAUAAUUUAUAAAAAUAUAAAUAAAUUUAAUGCAUAAUUUCAAAAAAUUGGUAUGAAUAAUACGAAACAAUUUUACGUAACCUUAAUGAUUAUAUCCUAUAUGAAAGUUGACAAUUCAUGAGUAAAAAGAAAUAAAAAAGGAAAAUCAAUGGUAGAAAUGGACAAUGUAUAAAUAUUCCACAUUGUGAAAAUUAUAAUGGUCUAAUCUCAUGGUUUGUGUUGUAAAAAUAAAUACUGUGAUGGAAUAUUUAAAGAACCUGUUAAAAAAAGAAAAUUCAGGAACCGAAGCACAUGUAAAGGAAGCAAAAACUCAGGAACAAGCACAAUUGCUCAACUUUUGUCUGUAGAAGAUAAAAUCGAGAUAAAGAUCCGAGAAUCCACUGCAUUGUGUUUCUUUGAAAUGAAAAUAGUGAAGGAAGAUUUGACUCUAGUCUUCUUAAAUGUGAAAAAAUUCAUCCAAUAUGCACACUGUCACUGCACAUACUGUCAAUGUACACACUUCAAGAUGGGCAAUUUCAAGAUAUUAUGCAGAAGCACGAUCGUUAACUUUAAAGCCAUUCUAUUCUAUCAUCUUUAAACGUAAUGAAACGAAGUAAGAAAUUUGGUUAUCAGAUAUAGGAACUUUUGGUCCUUUGAUACAACAUGUAUCUAAAAAUAUAAUGACCGUAAAAUACUAAGCUUGGAUUAAACAUCCAUCAGAAGAAUUGAAAUUUGUGAAUAUUAAUUUAGAUGAAAAUGAUUUAAGCGUAUCAAAAGAACAUUAACAUUAACGUAUCACGUAUCACAAGAUGAUAAUAUAACAAGAUAAAAUGGUAAAGCAUUGAUACAGAUGUUUCGAGAUGAUACUUUAACACUUGAAAAUUUAAAUGGAAAUAGAUUUGGAUUCAAGGACUCAAUGUAGAAUCUACAAUUUUACCAUACAGUAUCAUUGAAAAUUUUGAAGUUGGAUGUGAUCGUUCCGUAUUAGAGAAUAAUAUGAUAUCUAUUUAUAUUUUUAUAUUUAACAUUAAUAUUCAAUGAUAGGCAAUGAUAGAGAUUGGCACGGUGAAAUUAAAUAGAAGUUUGAAAAUGAUAUGGUAAGCGAUAUGUAAUUGAAGAAAUGAGUCAUGGAUAAAAAUUGAAGAUAAAUUUAUGAGCGAAAAUAAAUAUAAAUCUGAGGAUAUCUUCGUUAACAGUAUUCCUAUGUAUUUAGAAGCAUUGAAAAAAAAAAAAAAAAAAGAAAAAGAAA